CUCCCCCACUUCCUAUUAUUUAUUCCUCCAUCUCCAUCCCUGUUGUUUUGCUCAGUCUCUCUGCGCUUCUCUCUCUACACUGUUUUCCUGCUUCUUGUCCCUCUCUUGUUCCCAGCAUCCCAUUUUCUGGCUCCCUGUCUUGCACCUCUGUGUCCCUCUGUCCUUCCUCCUGCUUUACUCUUCCCUUUUAUCACCCCAUCCUGCUGCCUUUGGGCACUGAGCCUUGUAGCCAACUCAUUGCCAGGAUUUCUUAUAUGCAUUAAUGAAUAAAUUUUUCCUGCCUCCUCUGUGUCCCUGGAUGUGGUUGCUUGAGACUGGCUGGGCAUCGGUCAGUUGGUGGUUUCUUAUAGGCACCCUUUACAUACCAUGAAGUCUGCUAUAAGGUCUCCUGCAAAGCUGCAUGCCAGUGAGCGGUCCGAGAAGAUGUUGAAGACCAAUGUGUCACCUUGAGGAACAUCCCAGUUAGCCUGUGUGGUUUUUGUGGAGGAUGGACUCAGCCCCUCGGCCCUCUGAAAGCUACGUUGAGGGACCAGGGCUGGGGAGAGGCUGGGA